UACGGAGGGUGCAAACGUUGCUCGGAAUCAUUGGGCGUAAAGAGCUCGUAGGCGGCCUGUUGCGUCCGCUGUGAAAGCCCGGGGCUUAACCCCGGGUCUGCAGUGGAUACGGGCAGGCUAGAGGUAGGUAGGGGAGAAUGGAAUUCCCGGUGUAGCGGUGAAAUGCGCAGAUAUCGGGAGGAACACCGGUGGCGAAGGCGGUUCUCUGGGCAUUACCUGACGCUGAGGAGCGAAAGCGUGGGGAGCGAACAGG
rnacentral:rRNA from 1 species